GCCAGGCGCGGUGGCGCGUGCCUAUAGCCCCAGCUACUCGGGAGGCGGAGCCUGGAGGAUCGCUUGAGUCCAAGAGUUCUGGGCUGUAGUGCGCUAUGCCGAUCAGGUGUCUGCACUAAAGUGCAGCAUCAAUAUGGUGACCUCCUGGUAGCGGGGCACCACCCGGUUGCCUAAGGAGCAGUGAACAGCCCAGGUCGGAAACGGAGCAGUUUAAAACUCCCGUGAUGAUCAGUAGUGGGAUCGUGCCUGUGAAUAGCCACUGCACUCCAGCCUGGGCAACACAGGGAGAUCCCAUCUCU
rnacentral:SRP_RNA from 1 species